CACACUGCACACUGCCCUAUCCCAUCUGGAGAAGAGGAAUACCUAUGUAAGAAUGCUGUUCAUUGACUACCGCUCAGCAUUCAACACCAUAGUACCCUCCAAUUUCAUCAUUAAGCUUAAGGCCCUGGGUCUCGACCCCGCCCUGUGCAACUGGGUCCUGGAUUUCCUGACGGACCGUCCCCAGGUGGUGAAGUUCGUUUUGUUUGUCAAGCCUACAGAACCAGCAAUUUUCCCCUGGCUCCUGUUGGUUUCUAGUUCCUGGUUUCCCGGUUUUGACCAUUCUGCCUGCCCUGAGCCUGCCUGCCGUUCUGUACCUUUUGGACUCUGAUCUGGAUUACUGACCUCUGCCUGCCCUUGACCUGUCGUUUUGCCUGCCCCCUGUUCUCGUAAUAAACAUUUGUUACUUCGACACCGUC